GAAGCUCUUUGCUGAAUUAAGCCGUGCUUAAGUGAGAACCGCUGCUUCAGAACAACACGUUCUCUGUGAAAAAAGAUGGCAAAGCCAUUUCGGUCCUAGAUACUUCUCUACUACUCUGGGUAGAAAUAUGCUCACUUUCACAGGAAUCAAUAAAUAGGAGAGAGUCUAUGGGAAGAGCUCACUCUGCCAUGAAGCUGAUGUUGCUCUUCUCUGGAAUCCUCCGGAAUUCUCUGGAAUCUGGAAUCACAUGAAGCAGAGAUGCUGGAAACCUCUGAAUCUUCUGUGAGCUUUUUAAUCCUCCUUCUCUCCUCCCUGCCCAUUUAUCAGAGUCAUUAAAUUUCAUG